CAAACCUGCAUUUUUAUUUAUUUUUUCAUGGUUAUUUUUUACUUCAUUUUACCAGAGUCAUAUGGGUAAGUAAAUAUUUCAGACAGCAAAACUGUUCAUAAGCUGUCUAGGAAAUUUAGGAACAGCCACUGUAGAUUUCUACGUGUCACACAAACCUAAACAUUUUUUUUUUUCAGGCAAAUCAUAUAACACAUGAAUGCAAAAGUGUGUUUACAAGUCUUGGGGAGUACAACUGCUACUUUAAACUUUCCAUUGGGAGUCAGACAGUGUUAUAGUGCAAUACUAAAUCAGUGGAGUACUCUUUUAAUGACAAGGGCGUUUGCAUGAUGACAAAUGAAAAUCAUAAAGCCUGCAUGCUGAUCUGACACAUUUUGUCAGCAGACUGGUUUAAGUUCACUUAGGUAAUAUUUUAUUCAUUUGAUUUUUCAAAACUAGUUUUUAUAUUUAAUUUUUACGUGGAGUACAAGAAGAGUUACAAUCAAACAUAAAACACUCAAGAGGAAAUAAAAGAGGAGCAAACCAAGAGAAUUUAUAAUCAUCAUUUAUAGUUCAUGGUCAUUUUCCUCAUACUCAUUCCAAGUACAGGUCUCUGGAAGCAGAAUUGACGGACAGAAUGACAGAACAAACACAGAACAGCUGAAAUGGAGACGUGUUUGAGCUAUUCUCCUCGGUUAAUUUAUCUUAAUCAUUGUCAUCAUCCAUCAUCAUCACUCAUAUUCUUGGUCUUCAUUCUCACUCAUGUAAGUCAGGAUUGAGGAGGAAGGCAGUGAUUCUACCAGUAUCCUUAAAAGAUCCACACAAGUUGUCAUGCCGCAUCUCUCCACCAUCAACACCUUGUGCAGUUUUUGGGAACGGAUAGGCUACUACUGGUCCGGGAUCAUUUAUCUCUGGUUGGCAUUUGUAUAAAAACUAUAUAGGAA